AAUGAACAGGUCACUUUUGUGUGUGUCACUGUCUCUCUGGCAGCGAAUACUAGCUUUAUGGAAUCUUUUGCUGGGGAUUGAACCAGCAGACGCGGUGAUGGAGAGAUGAAAAGAGGAGGAGGGAGUGCGGAAGAGGAAAAGAUUGAAGAAGGGUAUGAAAGCCAGACUGCAAGGGGAGAUGAAAGGAGCUUCAGAAGGAAAAGAGACGAGUGAAAAUCAGAUAUUAGCUGGAAUACAGCCAUUUCUCCUCAGUGGACACAUUGAGAUGACCGGUUAACUUGCCACCAGUUCUCCAUCAGCCCUUCUCCUUUACUGCACAUUAAGGUGUGUGGUGUGAAGCUGGUGACAGAUGUGGCGUGUUGCAAUCAGCUGAUGAGGUGCAGUGAGCUGACUCCUGCCUGCUUUGCUGCCUGGGUUCCUUUUUCUACUGGGUCACUGCUCCACCAAGGUUUUCCCCUGGAGGAUAUUCACCUUUCGCCAGCUUCUCCCUGGAAACAACUACCCACACCUGGGACGAGUACACCUUGCCUCCACUGGGCUUACAGUUGCCAACUUGCCUUGUGUUGUUCAUCAGGAGUGAGUGCUGAAUGAAGGCAGACUAAAAGGACUGUUCCCUUGUUUUCAGCUGAGUUCUCUGGCCUGAGUAUCACCAGAGUAUUUGUUAAUGUUGUAAUACGUAGAAUUAUACAAUUGGUGUUCUGUGUUAAAGCCUGUUGUGUUUUUUGCUUAGCAUAAAUCUUUAGUCUGGCAGUUUGUUCAGGAUUAUCUGUAGUCUAGGCUGGGUUCGUUAUUUGAGUUAUCCUGCCUAGGUGUUACCUUAUGUGGGUUAACCUCAAUUUAUGUUUUCCAUAUUCUUGUAGUUACACCUCUAGUAGGUUCCUUGCACCGUAAUAUCUGUAGUUGGUUCAGGCAUCCCAUGUGACGCUACUCAGCCAAUGAAAUCUCUGCAUUGUAGCCACUAAGCAAGCUCAGCGUUCAGAAAACAGUUUAGAGGUGAAGGACAGACAAGAGGACAGAGUAAGACAAUGUGACACCAAGAAGAAAGUAGCCUUGCACAUGCUGAUUAUGUUUGGCUAAACAUACAGUUAUGAGGCAGUUUUCUCAACUAGGAAUAUAAUCCAAACUAAAUAUUGUACCAGACUGACCAGUGAGCUCCAAAUGUGUUUGAGAAUGACCCUGACACCGUUCAAAAUACUGGAGAAAGACCCAUCUCAGAGUGUAUCCUUCCGUUGUCUCCAGGAGAUCAGAUAUUCUGUAAAUAAGUUAGUGGCAUUUUGUAAUAAUGCCAGGCAGGGAGUGUAUUGUAACUUUCACUUAUUUGUUUGAACCACCAGGGCCUUUAGGAAUGUUGGAAUGUAUAUUUGUAGUGUUGUCGGUCUUAUUACAUUUACAAUCAUAGUCACGGUUUCAGGCUUUGGGGUAGCUUCAGGGUCAUUUAGCUUUAGCACCUUAUUGCUUACCAGUCACCUGCAGUGGUUUUCUUAUGUAAAUUAAUCCAUACUUACCUGUAAUACUGAUGUGUUUGAAGUCUUAAGCAAUUUGUACUGUUAUUGACAGUGUAUUCUGUAUGUUUAUUUCAGUUUCACACUUCUAUGUAUUAAAAUCCAUUCAACAACCA